UACAGAGGAGCCAAGCGUUGUUCGGAUUUACUGGGCGUAAAGGGCGCGUAGGCGGCCACCGCAAGUCGGUUGGGAAAUCUCCGGGCUUAACCCGGAAAGGUCAACCGAUACUGCGGGGCUAGAGUGCAGAAGGGGCAACUGGAAUUCUCGGUGUAGCGGUGAAAUGCGUAGAUAUCGAGAGGAACACCUGCGGCGAAGGCGGGUUGCUGGGCUGACACUGACGCUGAGGCGCGAAAGCGUGGGGAGCGAACAGG
rnacentral:rRNA from 1 species